rnacentral:lncRNA from 1 species
AGAUAGUGUGUCUAGGGAACUUUUUAUUCGAUCUAAUGUCCCCUUAAUCUGAUUUUAAUCUCCAUGUGGUCCAUCACCCAGGAGGUCUGAGUGGGAGCAUUUUCAGUUCAGAAAGUGGCUCGUGGCUAUUCAGAUAGCAGUGGUAAGGUUGGGUUUAAACAAAACUGUGUUUGCUUUGGGGCAAGCCAUAACAUGUCAUAUCUACCUCCAUCCAUGUGUUACCUCGGUCAUACUACCUCGGUCAAGUCUUAGCAGAUAGUUCUAGAGCUCUACAGAGUGGCAUACAAAGUGAGUAUGGCUAGUGUGGGGUGCCGGUCUCCAGUGCACACCUGUACUGCACCUGGAAAGCUGAGGCAGAAGUCUGGAUGCCAGUUUCAGGCCAGCAAGAGAGACUGUGUCUCAAAAAAAAAAAAAAAAAGGUGUGUCUGUGGCAGUGGUGGUGGUUGCUGGGGAGAUAGGCAGUAAAAUACUUGCUGCAUAAACAAGACCUGAGUUUGACCCUCAGCACCCACAUUUAAACCUGGUCUUCCAUGCUUGUAACCUCAGAGUUGGUAGGGCAGAGUUCACUGGCCAGCCUAGUGUAGUUGGUGAGUCCCAGGCUCCAAAGAGAGACCCUGUUUCAAAAACACAAGGCGCACAGCCUUUCUAAGAAUGUGUACACACCCAGCCUCCAAAAUCAAAUAAAUAAAGCAGGGUGAGAAUGAGCUACUGUGGGAGUGGCUCACUUAGUGUUAGUGAUUGGCACAGAGCGGAGGUUAGCCAAGGCCAGAGAAGUAUACUAUUCCUAAGCAACUGAGCCCAUGUGUCUGGCAUUAAAGCCCAUGUGAAAUG